rnacentral:tRNA from 1 species
GCCUUGUUAGCUUAGUUGGUAGUGCGUCCGCCUUGUAAGCGCUAGGCCGCGGGUUCGAUUCCCGCCC